rnacentral:rRNA from 1 species
UACAGAGGUGGCAAGCGUUGUUCGGAGUUACUGGGCGUAAAGGGCGCGUAGGCGGCCUUGUAAGUCCUGUGUGAAAUCCCCCGGCUCAACUGGGGAACUGCACAGGAGACUGCUUGGCUUGAGUUCGGGAGAGGGAAGCGGAAUUCCGGGUGUAGCGGUGAAAUGCGUAGAUAUCCGGAGGAACACCGGUGGCGAAGGCGGCUUCCUGGACCGACACUGACGCUGAGGCGCGAAAGCCAGGGGAGCAAACGGG